AGAGUUUGAUCCUGGCUCAGAAUGAACGUUGGCGGCGUGGAUUAGGCAUGCAAGUCGAGCGAGAAAUCCCUUUCGGGGGAUGGACAGCGGCUAACGGGGUAGUAAUACGUAGGUGACGUACCCUAAGGACCGGGAUAGCCGCGGGAAACCGCGGGUAAUACCGGAUGAUCUCUUCGGACGUGGUAGUCUGAUGAGCAAAUGGUGUGAUUCCGCCUUUGGAGCGGCUUACGCGGUACUAGGUAGUUGGUGAGGUAACGGCUCACCAAGCCUAAGAUGCCUAGGGGGUGUGAGAGCAUGGCCCCCACCACUGGGACUGAGACACUGCCCAGACACCUACGGGUGGCUGCAGUCGAGAAUCUUCGGCAAUGGGCGCAAGCCUGACCGAGCGACGCCGCGUGCGGGAUGAAGGCCCUUGGGUUGUAAACCGCUGUCAGAGGGGAUGAAAUUCUUGGUGGCAAUCCACCAUGAUGACAGAGCCUCAGAGAG
rnacentral:rRNA from 1 species